rnacentral:misc_RNA from 1 species
GGUAAGUCUGCAUAUUGCCAAUAAGAAGAGCAAAGAGAAUGAGACCAAGUACAGCUAAUGCUAUAGAAAAGAUCACUUCACCCGGGUACGUGCUUGUUUGAAGCCCCUGCCCAAGCGUACUUAAGUUUUGUAGUCCCCACCACAGACAGUAACAGUAUUUAGCGAUAAAAUUCUUGGAAGCGGCAAUACCAGAGGACAAAGCCUGUUGAAAGAUUCCAAAAUCGAACUGUUCAUUUCCAUCAGUAGGUGCGCAACUUGACUUAAGGCCAUCAACACCUGUCUGGUUCCAAGUUGCAUAACCUUCCAUGUCUUGGUUACCACAAUACAAGAAAUCUUUCCUGCAAAUAGGGGCAAUACAAUACUUCUGCCAACAUGUAUCAUUGCGUUCCACAGCUAACAAGUACCAUAAUGCUCCAACUAUAUGACUUGCAAGCAUAUAUAAUAGCAAAUAAUAUGCAGCACCUGCCCAAGCAGUUUCUGCAAAUACGC